AUUGAACGCUGGCGGCAGGCCUAACACAUGCAAGUCGAACGAGUGGCGGACGGGUGAGUAAUGUCGGGGAAACUGCCUGAUGGAGGGGGAUAACUACUGGAAACGGUAGCUAAUACCGCAUACCAUCAGAUUUGCCCAGAUGGGAUUAGCUUGUUGGUGGGGUAAAGGCGCACCAAGGCGACGAUCCCUAGCUGGUCUGAGAGGAGGACAAGCAACACUGGAACUGGGAAACGGUCCAGACUCCUACGGGAGGAAGCAGUGGGGAAUAUUGGACAAUGGGCGAAAGCCGGAUGCAGCAAUGCCGCGGGUAUGAAGAAGGCCUUCGGGUUGUAAAGUACUGUCAGCGGGGAGGCGUUACCCGCAGAAGAAGCACCGGCUAACUCCGUGCCAGCAGCCGCGGUAAUAC
rnacentral:rRNA from 1 species